CCCUCAAUAGCAAGAAUGUCGUUCCUCAAAUUAGGGGACCAAAACUGCACACAAUACUCCAGGUGUGGUCUCACUUGGGCUCUGAACUGCAGAAGGACCUCUUUGCUCCUAUAUUCGAUUCCUCUUCUUGUAAAGGCCAACAUGCCAUUCGCUUUCUUCACUGCCUGCUGUACCUGCAUGCUUACUUUCAUAGACUGAUGAACAAGGACCCCCAGAUCCCGUUGUACUUCCCCUUUUCCCAACUUGACGCCAUUUAGAUAGUAACCUGCCUUCCUGUUUUUGCUACCAAAGUGGAUAACCUCACAUUUAUCCGCAUUAAACUGCAUCUGCCAUGCAUCUGCCCACUCCCCCAACCUGUCCAAGUCACCCUGCAUUCUCAUAGCAUCCGCCUCACAGUUCACACUGCCACCCAGCUUUGUGUCAUCUGCAAAUUUGCUAAUGUUACUUUGAAUCCCUUCAUCCAAAUCAUUGAUGUAUAUUGUAAAUAUCUGUGGUCCCAGCUCCAAGCCUUGCGGUACCCCACUAGUCACUGCCUGCCAUUCUGAAAGGAACCCGUUAAUCCCUACUCUUUGGUUCCUGUCUGCCAACCACUUCUCUAUCUAUGUCAGCACUCUACCCCCAAUACCAUGUGCCCUAAUUUUGCCCACUAAUCUCCUAUGUGGGACCUUAUCAAAUGAUUUCUGAAAAUCCAGGUACACUACAUCCACUGGCUCUCCCUUGUCCAGUUUCCUAGUUACAUCUUCAAAAAAUUCCAGAAGAUUAGUCAAGCAUGAUUUCCCCUUCAUAAAUCCAUGCUGACUCGGACCGAUCUUGCUACUGCUAAUCAAAUGUUCGGCUAUUUCAUCUUUUAUAAUUGACUCCAGCAUCUUCCCCACCACUGAUGUCAGGCUAAUUGGUCUAUAAUUCCCUGUUUUCUCUCUCCCGCCUGUCUUAAAAAUUGGGAUAACAUUAGGUACCCUCCAAUCCACAGGAACUGAUACCGCAGGCAGCCGUGCUCUGAGGAGAGGAGCAUUCAUGGUCCAUUUCAGUCUAAGACAAGCUGUUCUAAGAAUCCAUCACAAAGGCACUCUACAAAGUCCCUUUCUUUGGGUCCAGUACCAACCUGAUUUUCCCAGUCUACCUGUAACAACCACAGCAUUACUUUUGCUACAUGCCAAUUUUAACUCCUGAUUCAACUUGUGCCCUAUGUCCAGGCUGCUGAUCUCUGCUACCUGCCGCCCACAUCCUGGAUGAGCUCACAAUGAGAAUUCUUGUCAUUGGCACUCAUCAGCAGGUCCUCAUCUAGAUUAACUAGUUUCUUCUGCAUGUAAAGACAUGAAAAGAUAAGAUUAUAAUCAAAUAUGUAGAAAUUAGUUCAAUGUGUAUAUUUUGAAUUAAUUUAAAUCAUUAAAAAAUCUUAUUGUUCAGAUCUGUUGGAAUAACACAGUGUUUAAAAAUAUUUAAUUUUGUACUAAUUUCAUUUAGUUUAGAGAUACAGCAUGGAAACGGCCCCUUUGGCCCACUGAGUUCACAGCGACCAUCGACUUGUUCCAUGUUAUCGUAUUUUCUCAUCCACUCACUCCACUUGGGGAAAUUUACAGAGGGUCCAUUAUCCUACAAGCUCACACAUCUUUGGGAUGUGGAUAGGAACCGGAGCGCCCGGAGGAAACCUAUGCGGUCCCCGGGAGAACGUGCAAACUCUACACAGACAGCACCCAAGGUGAACAGCAAAGAGCAUAUUGGCUGCUUGCAUCAUGGCAUGGUUCGGCAAAUCGGACGCCAAGGAAGUUUGUCUUUGUGAUGUGGAGUAGGAGGAUGCGUGGGGAAACCAGAGCAACUACUUUUGCGUGCGGACACACAAGCGGUCACAAGCAAAGAUCCUGGGAUCUUUGGUCACAAGAAGAAGCCUACACGUCAGGCAACUGAAGUCAGGAUCAGAUGUGCGUCUCCAGAGAGGUGACUAACCACUGAACUUGAUGAUGAGAAUCAUCACAAAGAAGCAAUGAAUGUCACCGAGAUCUUUCCAUAGUGAGGGGAAUACAUCUGUUCUUGCUGCAUGCACUAAUAUUACAUUAAAACUGUGCUGGCUCGAAGGGCCGAAUGGCCUACUCCUGCACCCAUUUCUAUUAUAUUUGACAUUUAUCAUACUCAGCUUUCGAACCUUGGUUCUGGAGUUCUGGAAGCAGAGUACUAGGUUCACUGGCAGAGUACUAGGUGACACUUGGUUCACAUAAAAUGCUGGAGUAAUUUAGCGGGUCAGGCAGCAUUCUAGACAAUGAUGCCCAGAGAUGCUGCCUAAACCCGCUGAGUUACUCCGGCAUUUUUUUUCUAUCUUCGGUGCAAACCAGCAUCUGCAGUUCCUUGUUACACACUAGAAUGAGCUACUCAGAUUGAGCAACCUCAGGGCGACAGCAUGAAGCAGAAGUAUGGGGAACAUCUAUUUCAUCAUUGAAGUUGUAGUGCUCCUACAAACACUGUCCAAAAGUGCUUUCACCCGCAAGUAAAAAUAACAAAUGAUAAAAUGACAAGUGAUCCUAGGAGAGAAAGUGUGGUAUCUGUAUGCCUACGAGUUCAGAGUGAGUGACCAUAAAAACACCAACCAUGUGUGGUUACAGGGUAAGGAAUGCCAAAAAAAUGGAGUGAUUGAUUCGUCAAAGGGAAGCGAGUUGGACGCAUACAUCACGGGGGUUUUAAUAAUAUAAAGCAGAUACGAAUAAGAAAGUUGGGCUGAGAAUGGUCCCAUGCGUGUAAACAUCAGUGCAGUCCAAUUGGACGGCUCUUUGUUUCUGCGUUGUACUUUCUUUGUCAAGUAAUUUUAAAUUGUGAAAACUAUUUUUUAAAGAUCUGUUAGGUAGUGGGUAAUGACCUACUGCGCCGUACAGCUACACACAUCUCGAAACCAGGGAGUUUCUAGUCUGGAUAUGGAUAAACAAAGUCUUCAUUUGCGAAGUGUCCCAUCGUGAUUGUAUGGUAAACGAUUUAGUGUAUGCAAGAUAAACAUCUUCCUGGAUUUUAGUAAUCUCUUCCAAAUUGCAUCAUCCCGACUACGUGAGGGAAUGGCAGGGUGUAUGUGCGGAUAGUCAUGUGCCUGCUGUAAUCUGAGAAAAUAAUUUACAUCAGCGCGAACAACAACAUUUAAAUUGCAUUUGCCAAAGAUCUCAGAGCGGCUACUGACUGCCUUUAUUGCCCCAGUCCGGGAAUGUGUUCGACAGCACAUCCGCCCUUGCGACUAAUUCUAGAUUUUUAAAAUAAUCUACAAAUAUAACUUUCGCGAAUUUAAUAUAUGGGUGCUUUUAAUAUAUAUUUCAAAACGUUUACGUUGUAAAUGAAUUAUUUUGGUGGUAAAUAAAACUGGGGUGAAAUGUAAAAUAUUUGUGUUUUCUAAUGAAAACCACGUGUGGGUGAGCUGUAAAGCAGGGGCAGGACUGGGGCAGCGAGUGCUUUAUAAACCUCCCACAUCCGCU